UUCCUGAUGGCUGAGAUUAUUAAGCACCGAGCUUUUAACUCGACAACAGUACCUACACUUCAGGAACC
rnacentral:tRNA from 1 species